rnacentral:tRNA from 12 species
GGGCCGCUAGCUCAACUGGCAGAGCACCUCCCUCUUAAGGAGGUGGUUACAGGUUCGACUCCUGUGCGGCUCACAA